rnacentral:rRNA from 1 species
UACGUAGGGGGCAAGCGUUGUCCGGAAUUAUUGGGCGAAAGAGCUCGUAGGCGGUUUGUCGCGUCUGACUGUGAAACUCAGGGCUUAACUCUGAGCUUGCAGUGGGUACGGGCAGACUGAGAGCGGCGGUGAGGGGAGACUGGAAGUUCCUGGUGUAGCGGUGAAAUGCGGACAGACUAUCAAGGGAGGGAACACCCGGUGGGCG